rnacentral:lncRNA from 1 species
AAGUUAUCGCAUAUUUCCUGAAGCAGGCGAUGCAAUUUUAAACAUACAUGUAGUCAUUAUUCACAGAUAGUGUUAGACAUUGCAUGAUAUGCACAUGUGUAGAUCUAGCACUAUAAGUCCGAUACACUGUCAGAUUGAUCAAUCAUUUUUACGAAUAAUUGUUCGUCAUAAAGGGCAAUGUCAGGACAGUGAUACAUUGUUCUAAAUGAAUGUCAGAUAAAAAAUCAAUAUUUCAGCACUGAAGAAAAGUUAAAAUUGAGUGUACAAAAUUUGUAAAAGUAUCAAAUGCAAAUUCAUUGUACCAAAACUUACAACAACAAAACAAUGCGUGGCACACGCCCGUAAUAAAACAACAUAACAACACAAAGUCAUGAGGGACAACAUCAGAAGUUCAAUGAAGGAUAAAAAACUUAAUUCACAUAAUUUUUUCACUGACCACCACACCCCCC